GCUAAGGAGCCCGAAACCGGUUUGCAAGUGUGGCCGUUCAAAAAUUGAAGGUCGACUCAUUCAGUUGAAUUGCCAAUCGCAUAUGCAGAAAAUCUUCUGUGAAGAUUCCUGCACUGACGCCUGUCGGAUAUAAUCCAACGCCGUUCGUGGUAUUAGCCAGUGGAGUUGUUGUUUUCUGAUAGGCGUCAGUCCAUUGAACCUACUGUGUAUGUUAUCCGAGACGGGUUUGAGCAUUUAAAGUUCAUCUCUUUAGAUAGAAUUAGGACUGAUGAAGAUUUUUUUAUUGAGAAAAACAGUGGGGAUAUUGCCAAAUCUUUGGAAACUGCAUCUACUCUAGAAAUGAAUUAUUCUGUCAAAAUACAUUAUUUGUUAAUGCAUUCCAUUAUGCGUCUAGUAUCUCAUUAUCGCCUAAAACCUAUUUAUUUUUCACCUCUUCAUUGUUAUCUCAGAUUCACGAAAACAUCAACACAAUGAUUUCAUGAACAAAACUAUGAUCAACAUUAAUGAAAACAUUGACAAAUCAUUUGCUUCUUCAUUAAAUAAAUGAACUCAAGGUAUUUUGAUACUAGUAUUUUGAAUAGACGUUAAAAUAUUCAAUAAAAUUUCAAAGGAAUAAGUAUAUGUGUAGUUUGGAUAACAUCUAAUUGAAAUAAAUAUAUGUUUGUGAAAACCGUGAUUCAUUAAAGAUUUAUUUUUCCA